rnacentral:rRNA from 1 species
AGAGUUUGAUCCUGGCUCAGAAUGAACGCUGGCGGCGUGCUUUACACAUGCAAGUCGAGCGAGGCGGCCCGCAAGGGUCAGUCGAGCGGCGAACGGGUGAGUAACACGUGGAUUAUCUGCCCAGAGGUGGGGGAUAACCAC